rnacentral:rRNA from 1 species
UACGAAGGGGGCUAGCGUUGCUCGGAAUCACUGGGCGUAAAGCGCACGUAGGCGGAUUGCUAAGUCAGGGGUGAAAUCCUGGAGCUCAACUCCCAGAACUGCCUUUGAUACUGGCAAUCUCGAGUCCGGGAGAGGUGAGUGGAACUGCGAGUGUAGAGGUGAAAUUCGUAGAUAUUCGCAAGAACACCAGUGGCGAAGGCGGCUCACUGGCCCGGUACUGACGCUGAGGUGCGAAAGCGUGGGGAGCAAACAGG